rnacentral:lncRNA from 1 species
AGUGUGUGAGUCAGAUUGAAUUUUUCAGAGCUGCCUGGGGGUUACUCUGAGUUCUCUGUCAGGUUUCUCUCCAGGUUUUGUCAAGGGUUUUGUUUCAAGGAAACCUCAGAGUAUUUUGCUUCUCUUCCUUUUUCUGUCUGAUCUCCCUCUUUUAUAACCUGAUUUUCAUGGCUUUGUAGGCUCAAAUGAGAGAGGUCAAGGUCCAAGUUUUU